rnacentral:rRNA from 1 species
CCAAUAGCGUAUAUUAAAGUUGUUGCAGUUAAAAAGCUCGUAGUUGAAUUUCGGGGUCAGUAGAUUGGUCAUGCCACUGGUAUGUACUGGUCUUACUGAUUCCUCCUUCCUGAUGAGCCGUAAUGCCAUUAAUUUGGUGUUGCGAGGAAUCUGGACUGUUACUUUGAAAAAAUUAGAGUGUUUAAAGCAGGCUCGCGCUUGAAUACAUUAGCAUGGAAUAAUGAAAUAGGACGUUUGAUUCUAUUUUGUUGGUUUCUAGGAUCGACGUAAUGAUUAAUAGG